AGAGUUUGAUCCUGGCUCAGAUUGAACGCUGGCGGCAGGCCUAACACAUGCAAGUCGAGCGGAUGAAGGGAGCUUGCUCCCUGAUUUAGCGGCGGACGGGUGAGUAAUGCCUAGGAAUCUGCCUGGUAGUGGGGGAUAACGUUCCGAAAGGAACGCUAAUACCGCAUACGUCCUACGGGAGAAAGCAGGGGACCUUCGGGCCUUGCGCUAUCAGAUGAGCCUAGGUCGGAUUAGCUAGUUGGUGAGGUAAUGGCUCACCAAGGCGACGAUCCGUAACUGGUCUGAGAGGAUGAUCAGUCACACUGGAACUGAGACACGGUCCAGACUCCUACGGGAGGCAGCAGUGGGGAAUAUUGGACAAUGGGCGAAAGCCUGAUCCAGCCAUGCCGCGUGUGUGAAGAAGGUCUUCGGAUUGUAAAGCACUUUAAGUUGGGAGGAAGGGCAUUAACCUAAUACGUUAGUGUUUUGACGUUACCGACAGAAUAAGCACCGGCUAACUUCGUGCCAGCAGCCGCGGUAAUACGAAGGGUGCAAGCGUUAAUCGGAAUUACUGGGCGUAAAGCGCGCGUAGGUGGUUCGUUAAGUUGGAUGUGAAAGCCCCGGGCUCAACCUGGGAACUGCAUCCAAAACUGGCGAGCUAGAGUACGGUAGAGGGUGGUGGAAUUUCCUGUGUAGCGGUGAAAUGCGUAGA
rnacentral:rRNA from 1 species